AGCGGGGCCCAUCCCGUAAGGCUAAAUACUCCCGAGAGACCGAUAGCGAACCAGUACUGUGAAGGAAAGGUGAAAAGCACCUCGAACAGAGGAGUGAAAUAGUCCCUGAAACCGUCUGCCUACAAGCGGUCGGAGCAACGUAAGUUGUGACGGCGUGCCUUUUGCAUAAUGAACCUACGAGUUACUUUCUCCGGCAAGGUUAAGGGCUUCAGGCCCGGAGCCGAAGCGAAAGCGAGUCUUAAUAGGGCGUGAUAGUCGGAGUGAGUAGACGCGAAACCAAGUGAUCUACCCUUGGUCAGGAUGAAGGUUGGGUAACACCAACUGGAGGUCCGAAUGGGUAUACGUUGAAAAGUGUUCCAAUGAACUGAGGGUAGGGGUGAAAGGCUAAUCAAACUUGGAGAUAGCUCGUACUCCCCGAAAUGCAUUUAGGUGCAGCCUUUAUUUAGUAUAGCAUGAGGUAGAGCGACUGAUUGGAUGCGAGGGCUUCACCGCCUAUCAAGUCCAGAUAAACUCCGAAUGCGUGCUAUAUAUUGAUAAGGAGUGAGGGCGCGGGUGCUAAGGUCCGCGUCCGAGAGGAGAAGAAUCCAGACCAUCAGCUAAGGUCCCCAAAUAACAGUUAAGUUGAACUAACGAAGUCGGACUGCAGAGACAGCUAGGAUGUUGGCUUGGAAGCAGCCAUUCAUUUAAAGAGUGCGUAACAGCUCACUAGUCGAGGAGUCCGGCGUGGAUAAUACUCGGGCAUAAACUGUUUACCGAAGCUAUGGAUGUGUAAACACAUGGUAGGGGAGCAUUCCAACGGCGUCGAAGGUGAAGGAUGACCUUUGCUGGAGCUUUUGGAAACGCAAAUGUAGGUAUAAGUAACGAUAAAGGAGGUGAGAAACCUCCUCGCCGAAAGACUAAGGUUUCCUGAUCAACGUUAAUCGGAUCAGGGUAAGUCGGGACCUAAGGUUAAGCCGAACGGCGAUACCGAUGGAAGAAUGGUUUAAUAUUCCCAUACUACUUUAUGGAGCGAUGUGGAGACGGAGAAGUGACAGUCCUGCCAUCUGACGGAAUAGGUGGUUGAAGAGUGUAGAUGUAGAUUCCUGUAGGCAAAUCCGCAGGGAGAGUCGACCUUGACAGUAUGCCGCGUGCUUGCACAAGGCAAAAUGGACGUAAUCAGGCUCCCAAGAAAAUCCGCUAAGCAUAUUCAUAAAGUACCCGUACCGUAAACGGACACACGUAGUUGGGUUGAAAAUACUGAGGCGCUCGAGUGAUUCACGGUUAAGGAACUAGGCAAAUUGACCCUGUAACUUCGGGAUAAAGGGUCCCUACUGAGAGGUAGGGCGCAGAGAAUAGGUCCAGGCAACUGUUUAACAAAAACACAUGGCUGUGCGAAAUAGAAAUAUGAAGUAUACAGCCUGACACCUGCCCGGUGCUGGAAGGUUAAGAGGAGAGCUCAUCGCAAGAGAAGGCUUGAAUUGAAGCCCCAGUAAACGGCGGCCGUAACUAUAACGGUCCUAAGGUAGCGAAAUUCCUUGUCGGGU
rnacentral:rRNA from 1 species